CAUUCUUUCAGAUUUCUAUGUAGUGCACAUGACUUGAUAGUUGCCUGUGUUUCUGCUGGAACCUUUGAGGACCUUUCUUCUGGAUGAGUUCCUUCACCCAGGGCUCCAGCACACGCUCCAGGAACCAUGAGAGUUACGGAACAUGGGAGAAAGAUGUGGAGCAGAUGAUGAGCUAACUCUAUGUUAACUCACAGUGACAAAGAGAGUGGAGGAAGCACUGAAAACCUCUUUCAAAACUGUUAGUGAUUGAAAGUCGGCGUGUCCAGAAAUGCCACAAUGUUAAGAAAUGUUUAAGUGAAAUUCCUGGUCCUGGUGCAGAGGUGAGCAACGUGAGUGAAGAUAAAGUUGAAGAUGUGAGAUUGUGUGAUGCUACUCCUGAUUCCUGAUGGAAACCUACAUAAAAUUAACUCAACUCAUCUCAGAAACAUAAAAUGUAACUAUAAAUCGAAAAAAACAACAACAUUUCAUCUCACCAGGAACACACACACUGGAGUAACACAGUAACGUUGUAACAGAAUAAUGGAGUAACAGUGUAAUAAAGUUAUGGGCCUGAUGGACACCAGGUGA